UUCCAACCACACCCCAGCACGCCAAGGGGUGACAAGAUCAUAAAAUCGUACAAUCCUACGAGUUGGAUCACGAUUUUGACUACCUUGCAAUACACCCUUAAAUAGACAAUGGAUGGACAUUAAAAGACUGAGAAGAAUCCUUAGAGACAUGAACAAUUCACAAAAGCCAAAUACAAGACAAAGGAAGCAUAGGUGACACAACAUCAUAAAGUAUUUUGCUCCUCAAUUCUCCCAGAUCCUCUAAAGCUAAUCAAAUGAAAUUGUUUCAAAUUGAAAAGACACACCCUAAAUUAACCAUAACCACUAAAUAAGUAACUCUGCGUGAAGGUGGAUAAGGUUGGGUUUUAUGGAACGGGGUGCCUAAGUCUCCCAUCAAGUAGUAUGGGAUGCUCAGUGAUAUGAAACACGGAUACAGACACGGACACUGCCAC
rnacentral:lncRNA from 1 species